AUAAAAUCGCCAAAAAGUAAGCUGAACGCUGACUCUCCGCAGACAAGUAGCAGACGUGCAGGAGUCACCAGGAAAGCCAGCUCCUGCACAACCAGGCUCUGCCACCCACAGCAGGAUCGACGUGCUGGGUGCAGAGCCUGCUGUAGUAGUGACGACUGCUGUCCCUGGGACCUGGGGAAAGGAGCCCAAGUCUCACAGAAGGGGAAAGUGGACAGAAAGCACUAAAGUGGCCAGAGGAGACCAAGAACAGAAACUAGCCCUGGCUAGUUAGCUGACAACAUCACACUUUAGGACAAUGGGGCUAGGAAGCUGCCACUGGUUCUGCUACCCCUGGACACUUAACACUGCACUGUUGUCCCAGUAAAUAAUUUCUCAGUGGUCCCUUCAUCUUUGAAUUAUUGCACAAGAGUUAAAGCCGCAGGUGGCAGCAUCUGACUGGCUGAGCCCAGGUCCCCAGAUGCCCAUGCUAACUCCUGAGGGAUGGAGAGAGAGAGAGAGGUUACCUGUCGGCUCCCGGUUCUGUCGUGGGAGGGAGGCCUUUUCCCACCCAGCCUUAUGCAGUGGAAGACUCACCCAACAUAGAAAUAAAGUUUGGAUGCUGAGUGGGCAAAGGAACUAACAAGCAGCCCCCACAGUGAAACUACGCAAUGGAAGCAUCAGAAACAAAACCGAGUAGGAGCUGGAACCAGAAAUGCGGAGGAUGCACAAGACACCUCAGGGCUGAAGCAGAGAAUUUCUGUGGUCCUGAGACUGGGUGCAGAGCUGACACUGUGGCUCUCAGGAGUCUGCCCCUUACCCCGAUGGCCAGGACAGGGGACAGAUGCCUGCUAGAUGCUGUGGCCCUGCAGGGCCCUUCCUGGCCCAUCUUCUUCCUCCCCCUUUCUCACGCUCCUCCAGCAUCUGUCAGCAGAAGAGAGGCUGUUCUCAGCAGAAUCACCUGGAAGACUUGUUAUAACACGGAUUGCUGGGCCCCACCCCAGAGUUUCUGAUUCAGCAGGUGUGAGAUGGGCCGAGAAUCUGCACCUCUAACAAGUUCCCAGAAGAUGCUGAUGCCGUUCUUCAAGGCCACACUUAGAGAACACCACCCCAAGCCAGGAUCAAGGAUUGCCAAAAGAAAUGCACUUGCAGACAGGAUCUGCACAAUCAACCCGGUCUUCCGGGCCUCCAGGGCUGAAAAGGAAGUGACCAAAGUGAGAAACUACACUCAGAUGGAUUCGCAAGUCCUCACCUUAACUUCACACUGGGGCGGGGCUUCCUCCGGGUCCUUCCGAGGCUGUGGCCACAAGCGUCAGCGGCGGGGAAAGCAGACUCCUUGCUAACCACACGUCAUGGUCCUGAAGACAGGACCAGCUGGGGGCAAUCUGCCGUGGGGGGCAGGCGUGGCUCUUCCCACUCCCAUUAGGGCAAAAGGCAACCAAUGUAUGCAGCUGCUUCUACUUUUCCAAAGUCGCAACUCAUCGGUCGAGUGUUUGAUCUCCUUUAAAUCUAAAAAAUAAACUUAAAUAAAAGAGGCAUGUUUUUUCAGAAUGUGAAAUGAAAUAGCGUAGUUAUGGAUGACCCAUCCCUCCUUGGGUUCUUUGUUAAUAUGUCCCUAAACUCAUGUUCGCCCGGCUCCUCUCAGGGUCAGGGGCUUGUAGCUUUGCAAGGCGGCGCUCUCCAUCACUAGACAGCUCUCCUGGGUAAAGAGCGCGUACUCACUCCGAGCUGGGGUCUGCCACCGGUGCCUUCCCCAGCCCCCCAGGCUUUCGGAGCACGCCGGAUGAAGUCCCAUCCCUCCCAUCCCUCCGCCACAGGACAGCACUUCAAGUCUCUGUUAUUUCAUUUUCUCUGAGUCUCCUGUUUUUCAGAACAAGCAUUUUGAAGGCUCUCAACUGUCCUUCAAAUUCUCGGGUUGCUACAUGCCUCACUUCGGGCUCGCUCUCCACCAGACGCUCUCCAGCCUGUUCAAGUGCUGAAUCUGUAUUCCUACUUGAACGCUGAAUGAAGACCCAAACAUUGUACUUCCUUAAUUGACACUGCUGAUAGCAAGGCUGUCUAAUCUUUGAAAGUUUUAUGACAGCCUUGCCUUUCUUCUCGCUCAAAAUGAGCUUGUGGUCAGCUAACCCCAUGCCACUCCCCAAACUCAGGGUCUGUAUUAUAUGAACUUCUGUUAAACCACCUGUGUUUAAUUAUUUGAGCCAGAGUAAGGGACUUUGUAUAUGCCUGGUUAAAUAGUUAAAAACGGAUUCUCAGGGAAAGUAGCCAUUUCAUCUAAGAUUCCAACUAGUAACUGAGGUGUUAGCAUAUUGUUCCUUGAGAGCACAUCAACAUCUUUUUCAUUCCUGACUGUAUCAUUCAAAAGACUGUCAGCAUCAAAACAAAACAAAAAUUUUUUAAAACACUUGCAUGUAUCAGGCAUUGUUUAAACGCUUUUUGUAAAUUAACUAAUUCAAUCCUCAUAACCACUUUAUGAGAUAGGUCCUAUUAUCAUCCACGUUUUAUGGAUGAAAAAGCUGAGACACAGAGAAAUUAAUAACUUGCCCAAGGUCACAGAGUUGAUACGUGGCAGAGCUGGGAUUCACAUUCAGGCAGUCUGGCUUCAGGAGAGGUGUGCUUAACCCCUGUGCUGUGCAAAGAAACAUUUCCACUUUUCUGUCAUCUGCAGAUUUAUAAAAAUGUCUUGGAUUUUAAGAAUGUAGUAAUUUAUUUACUCAGCACUUGCUGACUCCCAGGCUUCAUGCUUGGCACUUGAUACGCAUAUACAGAACAGACAAAGGGGAGGUUGGGCACAGGGUGAUUUCAGUCCUAAGUGACAGAAAGCUGGGUCAGGCCAGCCAAAAAGGAGGGUCUAUUGGCUCAUAAAUCCAAAGUGUAAGAGGAGUAGAUCUUGGUUUACAGGUGUUAGAAUCUAGAGGCAAAGUGGUUAGAGGAUGGGUAGGAUUUGUUCCCAAUAGAAGAUGAGAAGCAGCCAACCAGGCAGAAGUAAACAAGAGCCACCUGUAGCAGAUGGAGGUCUUUGGUUACAAGCAACAGAGGCCUAUUCUAGCUACCUCAAAGGCAAAGGAAGUCUUAGAAGGCGUGGGGUAGCUU